CUCUUCAUUUCUUUUCAUCUCUAUCUUCUUCUCUCUAUCUCUACAAAACCUAGGUUGGUGGAGUUGGAAGGAAAGUGAAGGGUGAUGAUUUCAGCUGUGAAGAAGAUUUUUAAGCAGGAAAAUCCAGCUAAGGAGGCAUAGAACUUGAGAUAAAUAACUGGUUUCUCAGCUAAGAAUUAGAUUAGCUAAUCUAAUAGAGAUUUCCUAAGUAAUUAAAGUUGGUAUUAGUGCUGUGAGAGAGAGAACUAGUGAAGAAGAAAGUGCAGAACUGGGAUUUGAGCUGAAAAGAGGACUUUGGAAUAGAAUUUCUGAAUAAUUGAGCUGAGAGCAACUUGGUGAAGCUCUGAAUUCAGGAAUAGUGGACGCGCUCGGAAGUUCAAAUUGACAUUUCGACGAGCCUACGGCACGCUCAUGAGGAAAACCUUAUUUUAGCUUCGUUUGUCGCGAGCGAAUAUUGCGAUGGUUCAUAAAUCGCGGGAAGUGGAUUUCUCGCAUUCCGGCAUCAUUUAAAGCUUGAUGGUGGUCGCUCCCCCCAGGCAGUGCACUCCGGAGUUGUCACAUGAUGGGCUAAAGUAUUUGCCCAUGGACAAAAGUAUUUGUCCAGCAGACGGUCCCGUCGGGAGGCAGCUUAGGGCCCGCCAGGGAUUGAGUUGGUUCUAGUUCGCGCGGGGUGAUCGAGGAUCGUGUUAUGGACAGCGUUCCAUAGAUAGUGGACAUCCAUCGAGUAUAGUGGUACCUUGUAUAUUUCAUCUAUUUAUAGUUGAUGAAAGCAAAUGUAAAUUAUUCAUUUGAGAGAUGGCAAUGUAUAUAUUGAAAGAAUGAAUGUAAUAAUUAUGCAAGCUCUGUAUUUGAUUUCAAGUAAUCAAGAUACAAUGUAUGAAUGGUUUAGUUAGUUUA